CAGCAGUGGACCGCGAGCCUAUUGGAAAACACGCACAGUAUUCCCCCCUCACUCCUGUCUGGCGCGCCGGGUCUGCAGUGGAGCUGUUAACAGAUGAUCCCGAAACCGGCAUCUAAGUGAGAACCAGAGCAAUGGGACGCUCCCUGAGUGGCAACAUCAGAGUCCCUUUCUCUUCCGAAAUGGAGGGGAUCGACAAUGAAUACUCAACAUUCCUUUCACCUGAUGUUGGAUAGAUAGGGUUUUUAUCAUGAAAAAAAACCUACAGGGGAGAUUUUACCCCCAUAUUGUAAUGUUUUUAUUUCCAUAGUCAUUUUCUUUUAUGUGUUUUUGUGUUUGUUUUGGUUGACUGUACGGUAUGAGGUAAAGCUCUACCAUGAGUGUGGGGCAUGGCUCCCUCUGUGUGUCUGUGUAUUUUAUUAUAGUUUUUUUUUUAUUAAUGUGUUAGGAAAACUCGGGACUCUAAGCCUUGAUGAUAUUUAAACCUUCUUGGGGGAGACGGAGGGAAAGAUGCCAAAAAAAAAGGGGGGGGGGGGAGAAAGCAACCUGAGGUAGAGCUGACAUGAUUGGAGCUACCCAGAAGCCCAUGCGUCUGUGUUUACAAACCCCACAGGUGGCCCCACACGGCCGACAGCCCUUGCAGCAGCAUGUCUUCCACUUGUCCACUCAACACACUUUGCACUGCUUGUUUCAUUCUCCACAUCCACUGUAUAUGUCGUUUUAGUUCGUAACCCCAGGCCCCAGCACCACAACCAUUUGUCAGCGCCCAACUCCCAGUUCAGACCUAUUCAAAGCCAAGCACAGCUCGUUUGUCUUGUUGAUUCACUCUGGUCUAUGCACUUGUUCACAAGUGCUCUGAUCAGGAUCUCAAAAGUCCCUGUGUCUUUUCUGUAUUUAAGCUUUAUGCAAGUCAGAACAUGUGCACCUCUGAACGAGAUGGCAAAAACAUCAGAAAUCCUACAGACAAUAAAACACUCAAUCUACAGGCACACCUUCCACGUGUGCUAACGACCCUCUUUUGUGAGUCACACACUAAAGAUCUAUGUUUAAUCUCAUUCUGAUACCACGGUCAAUCUAAUUUCACUAUUCACACUCUUGACAGUUAUUUCCUGAGGCUAAGAGUCCCUGCUUAUCAUGUAUUUUAGUAAGUGCUUUCUGAGCUCAUGGUGUGUUCAUUUUGUUUUAUUUUUAGAAUGUUGCUUUUUAGUUUUGUUGUUUUCUUUUCUUUUGGUUCUGUUUUGCUUUGCUAGUAUAAAAAGAUAUCUAUAAUAAUGUGCGUUGUAAUUUAGAAGUAGCUGUAGAAAUGCAUUGUUUCCUUGUGGUAAGUGAUUGAGAUGCUGCCACGGAAGUAAGACACUGAUGAAUGGUGCUAUUUUGGACUUUAAUCUGCUACUUGGUGAGGUAGCUCUGGUGGGUUUCAUUUUAUAUGUUCAUGUUCUGAGAAGGUGUUGGUUCUUUGUGGUCUGGACGUUGUAUACUUGGUCUGGAUUGACUUUUUUUUUCCUGUUGAUUUUCUGUGCGGCUUUCUCAUUGGAUUUAUGGAUGAAACAAACAAAAGAGGAAAAUAGGCACAGUUGAUAUUUUCAGAAGGUGGCGAUCCAAUCACGUGUGGAGGGUGGGAGCAAUCACAAAACUGCAAUCCUUUAAAAGAGCUGUUUUGCCCCCUCAGCACAGAUAAGACUCGGACAUGAUAGUUAUAGGCUAGUUCCCAGCACAGGUCACUUUUAGAAAAUGUAAUGCUCCCUCUAAUUAUGUACCACAUGAAGAGUCACACUAACUAUAUAAAGAGUGUAUUUUGUGGCGCAGUACUGUCAUGGGUACAUCAACCUGAGAUUUGCACAUUGCAUAUUAAGAAUGCUUCCAUCAAUCAAUCAAUCAAUCGAAGAAGUCUCAACACAUGCCACAGCAUUAAAUGAGCUUUCUGCUUCUUCCAUUGCUUUGCAUAGUUUAGAGGCUAUGAUGUGGGGAUGGGGGGAGGGUACGAAAUGGCGAACCAUUUUGCCAUAGUCCCUUCCAAAAGCCAUGCACCUUCUUCAGACGCAGCUCGUCUGGGGCUCAGGGGUGUUAGAUGCUGCAUCUUUACCAGCAGGCCAAGACCUGUACGUCUGAUAAUCUAACUGUCUCUGGUCAGACAGUCAAUCUUAAAUUGUGAUGCACAUAAUUUUUUUUAGAAAUGCAUUUUCCAAAAAAAGCCAAAUAUGUAGCAUAAAGAAGCUGAACAAUCUUCAUAAUGACUUACCUAUUUUGUAAAGUAAUAUUAGAAUUAUUUUUCUUUGAUAAAAUAUGAACCAAAAAGCUUUCUAUGAAUUAUUUUGUCUAGUGAGGUUAACUUAAGUAUUGUUAUUCAGUAUUUGCAGUUUUGUCUUUGCUUCCUGUCGAUUCAUACUUUUAAAAGUCUCAAUAUGACGACCAACUUGAAAGCCCACAUUAGUUUCUUUGUCUUCCAUUCUUACUCCAGUAUGGAGGACCCUCCUAGCUUACUGUAGUUCUUCCUUGACUCCAUUAUCCUGUCCACUUGCAUGUUCUGUGCUGUUUUGUUUCUCUUCAGUACUUUUUCAAUUAUUCUUCCUCAUAGACUAGGUAUGCCAGCUGUCUUGUACAUAGCAAGUGAUUAGUAUAGGCAGGGGCGGCAACAGUAUGAGAUAAUAUGUAUUAUUGAAUGUGUAUGAUUGGUUUUAAAAACUAAUGACAAAAAAAAACACACAAAACCAGCUUAGUUACAGUAUCUUAAUUAUGAAGCACUGAUAGUAUUCCAUGUACUUUUGGCAAAUUUAGCAGUAGUUAAAUAAAUUUGCAAGCUCUGAAAAAUGAAUCACCGUUUCUGUGUUUUAUUUCCCCCCUCUAGUUCUAGAAGCACCGUAGGCAUUGCCCCAUACUGGUUGAUAAAAUUCUGCAGUACACACAUCUGCGUUUAGUCAUUGGAUAUGGCAGAAAGAAAACAGAAGUUCAGUGUUUUCUUCGGGAGAAGGCAACUUAAUACACUCAUUUAAUUGUGAACUGAUGGGCUCCUAUGCAGUGUUCAUGGAUAAUGAUGGAAGUUUAAAGCAGAUCUGGGUUGACCUUUAAAAAGCACGCCCAUAUGUAGCAGCACCAUUUCCUGCCCCAGACAUGAACACCAUGGUUCAGACCUGCCAGAGAGACCAUUAGUGUUUUCUUCAAGGUGCUUUAAGUCACAAUAUGAGCCCUCUUGGCAGAUUUGGUUUCUGCCAUUUUAAAGGAAAGAAGUUUGCAAGGUCAUUGCACACCUUUACCCUUUACCAUCCCUACCUUAAGACUAUCAUUGAUGUUCUACACUGACACAUUUAAUGUGGCACGUGUGUGUCUCAUUCCUCAGAUUUGUAUUAUACAAUAUUAUAUUUCU
ensembl:lncRNA